rnacentral:rRNA from 1 species
AUUGAACGCUGCGGCAGGCUUAACACAUGCAAGUCGAGCGAGCGGCGGACGGGUGAGUAAUGCUUAGGAAUCUGCCUAUUAGUGGGGGACAACAUCUCGAAAGGGAUGCUAAUACCGCAUACUAAUCGAUGAGCCUAAGUCGGAUUAGGUAGUUGGUGGGGUAAAGGGCUACCAAGGCGACGAUCUGUAGCGGGUCUGAGAGGGUGAUCCGCCACACUGGGGCUGGGAAAGUGCCCAGACCCCCACGGGAGGGAGCAGUGGGGAAUAUUGGCCAAUGGGGGGAACCCUGAUCCCGCCAUGCCGGGGGUGUGAAGAAGGCCUUAUGGUUGUAAAGCACGUUACGCGAGGAGGCGUUACUCGCAGAAUAAGCACCGGCUAACUCUGUGCCAGCAGCCGCGGUAAUAC